GCUUGCUUUCUUUGCUGGCGACCGGCGCACGGGUGAGUAACACGUAUCCAACCUACCCUUUACUCGGGGAUAGCCUUUCGAAAGAAAGAUUAAUACCCGAUAGCAUAAUGAUUCCGCAUGGUUUCAUUAUUAAAGGAUCCGGUAAAGGAUGGGGAUGCGUUCCAUUAGGUUGUUGGUGGGGUAACGGCCCACCUAGCCUUCGAUGGAUAGGGGUUCUGAGAGGAAGGUCCCCCACAUUGGAACUGAGACACGGUCCAAACUCCUACGGGAGGCAGCCAUG
rnacentral:rRNA from 1 species